CUGAUACAAUGAUAGCAUAGUUCAGCAGAUUAAACCAUGAAGAUUAUAAGCGCUGUCUUUCGCUCCUAUCUGAUGUAUCAA